rnacentral:rRNA from 1 species
GAAACGACUGCUAAGACUGGAUAGGAAAUAGAAGGAUAACCUUUUAUUUUUAAAAGACCUUCUUCGGAAGGUAUGCUUAAAGAAGGGCUUGCGCCACAUUAGUUAGUUGGUAGGGUAAAAGCCUACCAAGACUAUGAUGUGUAGCUGGACUGAGAGGUUGAACAGCCACAUUGGGACUGAGACACGGCCCAAACCCCUACGGGAGGCAGCAGUAGGGAAUUUUCGGCAAUGGAGGAAACUCUGACCGAGCAACGCCGCGUGAACGAAGAAGUAUUUAGGUAUGUAAAGUUCUUUUAUUGAAGAAGAAAAAAUAGUGGAAAAACUAUCUUGACGCUAUUCAAUGAAUAAGCCCCGGCUAACUAUGUGCCAGCAGCCGCGGUAAGACAUAGGGGGCGAGCGUUAUCCGGAAUUAUUGGGCGUAAAAGGUGCGUAGGCGGUUAGAUAAGUCUAUAAUUUAAUUUCAGUGCUUAACGCUGUUCUGUUAUAGAAACUGUCUAGCUAGAGUGAGAUAGAGGCAAGUGGAAUUCCAUGUGUAGCGGUAAAAUGUGUAAAUAUAUGGAGGAACACCAGAAGCGUAGGCGGCUUGCUGGGUCUUUACUGACGCUGAGGCACGAAAGCGUGGGUAGCAAACAGGAUUAGAUACCCUGGUAGUCCACGCCGUAAACGAUGAGUACUAAGUGUCGGGGUUAAACUCGGUACUGAAGUUAACACAUUAAGUACUCCGCCUGAGUAGUACGUACGCAAGUAUGAAACUUAAAGGAAUUGACGGGACUCCGCACAAGCGGUGGAUCAUGUUGUUUAAUUCGAAGAUACACGAAAAACCUUACCAGGUCUUGACAUACUCUGCAAAGCUAUAGAAAUAUAGUGGAGGUUAUCAGGGAUACAGGUGGUGCAUGGUUGUCGUCAGCUCGUGUCGUGAGAUGUUAGGUUAAGUCCUAAAACGAGCGCAACCCUUGUCGUUAAUUGCCAGCACGUUAUGGUGGGGACUUUAGCGAGACUGCCAAUUAAAAAUUGGAGGAAGGUGAGGAUUACGUCAAAUCAUCAUGCCCCUUAUGAUCUGGGCUACAAACGUGAUACAAUGGCUGUUACAAAGAGUAGCUGAAAUGCGAGUUUUUAGCCAAUCUCAAAAAAGCAGUCUCAGUUCGGAUUGAAGUCUGCAACUCGACUUCAUGAAGUUGGAAUCGCUAGUAAUCGCGAAUCAGCAUGUCGCGGUGAAUACGUUCUCGGGGUUUGUACACACCGCCCGUCA